UGACACCACGUUGGAACACCGAUUCUCGUAGGAUCACUGAAGUUAAACAACAUCGAGCCUGGUCAGUACCUUGAUGGGUGACUACUUGGGAAUGAGCGGGCGCUGUAA